CCUACGGGAGGCAGCAGUGGGGAAUAUUGCACAAUGGGGGAAACCCUGAUGCAGCGACGCCGCGCGAGUGAAGAAGUAAUUCGUUAUGUAAAGCUCUAUCAGCAGGGGAGCAAAUGACGGUACCUGAGUAUGACGGCGCGGCUAAGUACGGGACAGCAGCCGCGGUUAUACGGAGGGGGCAAGCGUUAUCCGGAUUUACUGGGCGUAAAGGGAGUGUAGACGGCAGUGCAGGUCUGGAGGUAAAGGCGGGGGCUCAACCCCCGGACUGCCCUUGAAACUGUACGGCUGGAGUGCAGGAGAGGUAAGUGGAAUUCCUAGUGUAGCGGUGAAAUGCGUAGAUAUUAGGAGGAACACCAGUGGCGAAGGCAGCUUACUGGACGGUAACUGACGUUGAGGCUCGAAAGCGUGGGUAGCAAACAGGAUUAGAUACCCUAGUAGUC
rnacentral:rRNA from 1 species